AUGAGGCGACUCGCGCUACUCCUGCUCGCCGCCCUCGCCGCCGCCGCCGGGGCCGCGGCGCCGGGCUUCUCCGGCGAAGGAGGGGACGGCACGGCGGCGGCGGUGGAUCCGUCGUGGCGGUUCCCGAGCCGCCGCAUCGAGGACGCCUACGUGGCGCUGCAGACCUGGAAGCGCCACGCCAUCUUCUCCGACCCGCGGAACCUCACCGCCGACUGGGCCGGCCCGGACGUCUGCAACUACACGGGCGUCUUCUGCGCGCCGCUCCCGUCCGACCCGCGCGUGCUCGCCGUCGCCGGCGUCGACCUCAACCACGGCGACAUCGCCGGCUACCUCCCGCCGGAGCUCGGCCUGCUCGCCGACCUCGCGCUGCUGCACCUCAACUCCAACCGCUUCUGCGGCAUGCUCCCGGGCACGCUCCGCCGGCUCGGCCUCCUCCACGAGCUCGACCUCAGCAACAACCGCUUCGUCGGGCCGUUCCCCGAGGUCGUGCUUGACAUGCCGGCGCUCCGGUUCCUCGACCUCCGGUUCAACGAGUUCGAGGGCGCCGUGCCCAGCCGCCUCUUCGACCGCCCGCUCGACGCCAUCUUCCUUAACCACAACCGCUUCCGCUUCGAGAUUCCGGACAACAUCGGCAACUCGCCGGUCUCCGUCCUCGUCCUCUCGCACAACACCUUCGGCGGAUGCCUCCCCGCUAGCCUCGCCAACAUGUCCGGCACGCUCAACGAGAUCUUGCUCAUCAACAACGGCCUCGAGUCGUGCCUGCCGCCGGAGAUCGGCCGCCUGCGGGAGCUCACGGUGCUCGAUGUCAGCCACAACCAGCUCGCCGGCCCGCUCACGCAGGAGGUGGCGGGGCUGAGGAAGCUGGAGCAACUCAACGUCGCGCACAACCUGCUCUCCGGGCCGAUACCCCAGGCCGUGUGUGCUCUGCCGCGGCUCAAGAACUUCACCUUCUCAUACAAUUUCUUCACCGGGGAGCCGCCGGCGUGCGCGCGCGUCGUGCCCCGGGGCAGCGACCGGGACAACUGCCUGCCGAAUCGCCCUUCUCAGCGGACGCGGCAGCAGUGCGCCGCCUUCUACGCCCACCCGCCCGUCAACUGUGCGGCGUUCCAGUGCAAGCCGUUCGUCCCGCCU
rnacentral:rRNA from 1 species